rnacentral:rRNA from 1 species
GAUGAACGCUAGCGGCAGGCUUAACACAUGCAAGUCGAGGGGCAGCGUGGAGCAGCAAUGCUCUGACGGCGACCGGCGGAAGGGUGCGUAACACGUGAGCGACUUGCCCGUCACAGGGGGAUAACCGGCGGAAACGGCGACUAAUACCCCAUACGAUGCGAUGCUGCAUGGCAUUGCAUUGAAAGAUUCAUCGGUGGCGGAUAGGCUCGCGGGACAUUAGCUAGACGGCGGGGCAACGGCCCACCGUGGCGACGAUGUCUAGGGGUUCUGAGAGGAAGGCCCCCCACACUGGGACUGAGACACGGCCCAGACUCCUACGGGAGGCAGCAGUGAGGAAUAUUGGUCAAUGGGCGGAAGCCUGAACCAGCCAUGCCGCGUGAAGGACUAAGGCCCCUACGGGUCGUAAACUUCUUUAGACGCAGAGCAAUAAGGUCCACGUGUGGACCGAUGAGAGUAUGCGUAGAAUAAGCAUCGGCUAAC